GGGCAGGACAUGUAGGGAGCCGCUGCGGGGGCAAGCCUUAGCAUCAGGGGUGGGCAGGCCCCUGCUGGGUUUCUCAGGGAGCCUUGUCUUGUGUCUGAAGAGGCCCUGGGUGCCUGUUCUGCAGGUUUAUACCACUGGUGUCCGUGUGCACACGGGGGCCGCACCCUGCAUUGAGGGGGGAUCCUUCCCCCUGGAAACCCGGCCCCGAGGCGCUUCCUGCCGGGGGUGGAGGUUCCAAGGCCACGCUGCCUCGGCCUGGCUGGGACGCCGUGUGGUGCUGGGGGGAGGCGGAGGGCUCCGUAGAGCCGUUGUAGGAACCCAGCUACCCUGGCCCCUCAGCCCCUGCGCCUUCCCCUGGCCUGCCCUUGACUUUGAGUCCUGGCUGCUGCCCGCGAGGAGGGCAUCCGUGCCAGCCUGCCAGCCCCUCACCGGCCGGGGGUCACGGGGAACAGCAAAAUGAUGAUAAGAGCCUGCGGUACAGAGAUGAUGUCUGAGCCUGUUCACAGGGCACGUUUCCCCUUCGUGCCGAAGAGGCUGGGGCGCGGGGGCGUCAGGUCCCCUUCCCCGGGUUGUACGGCUCCUUAGUGGUGGAGCUGGCGUUUCACUGCCGGCCUCUCUGGCCCUAAAGCGUGUCUGCUCCCCAUCGUGUCUUACCGGGUCACUGCAGGAUCGCUGGCCACGGGCCACGAAGCUUUGCCAGGGGCUUCUCCGUAGCUUAUUUAGUCCUCAAAACAGCCCUGCGAGGUAAGGUUUUGUUCGGAUUGUUUAUUCGGGGGCGGGGGAGGCCCAGGGCCCGCGAGCUCCUUGCCCCGCUGCGCGCGGGAGGGUCUUCCUGCCCCUGAAGCCCACAUUUUCCACGACACCUCGGACGCCCAGACCUGCCUUUUGAUGGGAGGUGCCGGCUUCGCAGAGGGGCCUGGCGUCUGGCCGCCUCCCACUUCUGACACCCGCCCGCCGCUCCCGCCGCUCGCAGCCCGCAGGUGCCAACCUUUCUACUCCUUGUUCUCCAGCCAUCUCCGGGCGCCGGCGGCAGACGUCACACCGUGUCCCUGCUGCCCACGAGCCGCCCCCUGGGUCCGCCCAGCGGCCUGGCCGCAGGUCACUCUUCCUCCUCCCUCACCCCCGGGGCAGAAGUGACCCGUUGCUUCCCCUCUGUCACUCUCUACGUCCCUCCAUCACAGCAGACUGUAGAAACAACUGUCUGCUCCCCACACAGACUGAGAUUUCUUGAGGGUGGAGACUGUGCCUUGGGUUUCUCGAGACACCCAGAAGAAUAACACAGAAUAGGUGUUCGGUAAGUGGUUUUUGAAUUAGAUAGAAUUGAGCUGUUAGAUGUAAAUAGUCUCCUUCUUCCCUGAUCUAAUGUUUUUAACGUUUGAGGGCUUUGAUAGGGCGAGAAUUUUCCAUGUGCCAAAAAUGGGUCCUGGUGGUAAGAGUAGUACAGGUUUAAUUUUUAACUCCAGAUUUUAACUCCAUGCUAUGCGUACUAGGAGUAUGUGGCUAGGAGUGUGUGAGUAUAGGAAUCUCAAGAAAGUCGUGGAGCUUAAAAUUUGGGCUCGUCUCCUGCCGACGUGAUGUGGUCGAGGUGGUUGGAGGUCUCCGAUCUGCCUCUGGGUUCCACUGCCAGGCCUGAGGGCUCUGGCCCGGGACUGAUGGGGUGCCCGGUGGGUGCCUCGCAGCCUUUCUCCUGGCCCCUGCUUCUGGGAGCCUCAGAAAUGAGUCAGAACAUGUGCAGCGUGGGCUUGUGCGGGUGGCAGGGAGCCCAGAAUUAGCUCAGCUGUGUUUCAGCAGGGUUGCAGCAGGGGGAGGUGGCUGUGCCAGGCGGAGGACCCAGAGGCGGCAGUCCUGAGCUGCAUGGGGGUCGGCUCUUGGAGCCAGCACUGGCCGCAGGGUGUUAGGGGACUGUCUGCUUGGUGCCUGGCACACACCCAGUUAUAGAGACCUGGGGGUCAAAGCAGCAGGCCUGUGCCACCACAGCUGGUGUGGCCCAGUGCACCUGAGACAAACGUGGGUGCCAGGAGGGCACGGCCAGGUCGCUCCCCAGGAGUGAGUGGCAGACAGGUACGGGCAUCGCCAUGCUCGCUGCUCACGCUCCGGCAACUCAGUGCCUUUACCUGCCUGCCCACAGCGCACCAAAGCAGGCCGAGCCAAACUGAACCUAAGCUAAUCCACCACUGGACAGCGCGGCCUCCUCCUCUGUCUGGCAUCCUUUUACUCUUUGCUGCCUUUUUGUUCAGAGGGAGGGAGUGGUUAGCACGGGGAUUUUAACUGAUUGCACAAUGCUUUGUUUCCCCUUGCCCCUUUCCUGCUCUCUCCAGUCUCGGGCAUUGGUGUGUUGCCCAGGAUGCCAGUGGUUGUCACUGGAGACAGCGGGACAGGAAUACCACCGCCGCUGCUUGGUGGUGCAAAACACAGGGGCAGGCUUCGUGCUUUCCGGGAGUGGGGAGGGGCCUGGCACUUGUGUUGCCACCAAAUGAAUCAGGUAGGUGGAACAGGGAAAUAUUUAAUCACGCGCGUGUCAGCAUUGUUCUAGAAAAAAACGUUUUCAAAGAUUCUGGUGUGCAGUGUGGGUACCUGAUGUUACCCCUGUGGUUUUCCCUUGCCAUGUGAAACGCACGCAGGCAGAGUGAUGGGUGCACUUGGGGUUUCCGUGGGCUUAAUCAUGUGAGAACAAUUUGGGCGAGAAAACAAAGCAUCCAAAGGUUUCCAGGGUGGUCCAGCUUUGAAGCUGUGAGCAGGUGGUUUCUGCCCUAGAGCCCAGGCCUGCACUCGAUCACCUGUACUGCUGUCCAGGAGGCCACAGCGCCUGGCUCUGAGCAUUGUGAGGAUCAGUGUUCCCAUUCUUGUAGGUGCCUUCCCUUCUUGCCCUGGUACUGACACCCUGGUUUUAAUCCAACCAUCCUCAUCAGUGUUGGACAUAGGAUCUCAGGUGUGUUGGACCACACCUCGACCUAGCACAUGAAGGGGAACAUCCCUAUCUGUGACAGUCUAAGGACAGGGACCACACUUCUGUAUGGUCCUUUGUCCCUUUGGUGCCUGAUUCAGUGCUCUCCACACAGAGGUCCAGGACCCUCACCACAUGCCCGUGGGCUCAUGCCCUUCCCAGUCCCUCUGCUGGUAUCUGGGGCCAGCCCCUGGGGACAUUUGUGCAAAGGGUCCCAUGAGUCUGAAGAAACUUUAUUGUUGAUACAACCAUCUGGUUUUGUCAAGGCAGAGCAUGUACCCAGCAGUCUUGUUCGGGGCCCUCAUCACCUGUGAGGUGGGCAGGGCCAGAAUGAAUAGGUCCCUUUGAAGGAUGAGGUACCUGAGGCCCAGACAGUAGAAAGGAUUUGCCUGUGCCGGGAGCAGAAUGGUGGGCAUAGGGGCUCUCUCUCUCUCACCUCUCACUUGAGCACCUUGCCCAGGGCCUGCUGCUCACCUGCUGCCUGGCACCCUGUCCCACCAAGUCCUGGGUGUACAGACCCCAUUGGUGAGCAUCAAGCUGGGGAAUUGUGAGAUUGGACGACUUGUGUAUUUUCCAAACAUGAACACUGAAGCCAAGAAGAGUGAAGUAAUUUGCAGUAGGUUGAAUGUUGGAAAGAAUUCUUUUGGGAAGAAUUAAAAAAGAAAAUCCCAGUCAAGGUUUAUAAUUCUUGGCCAGCAGCAUCGGCAUGAUACUUGUGUAACAGCUACUCUUAACAUUGAGAUGCCUCAGGCCUGGGAGCUUAGCUGUAUACGCCACUUCCUGACAGCCAUCUGGGUUUGACAACUUCUCAACCUUUCUUGAAAAAUAGGUUUCUUCGUUGUUCUGAUUCUCUGUGCCAACCUCGUUGGAACCUGAGUCCUGAGCUGCCCCUUUCAGUAAGAGGUAGUCGUGUACAACCUGGAGCUCACCAGUGGAUCUGCAUCUCCAUAUUUAACCCCCUGUUAGCCCCUGAGAGUAGGUGCAUGUUUCAAGGAAACAUGCCCAUGAACAGACCCAGGCCUGGUGAGCUCUGAAGCCUACACCCUAGGAGGGAGGGACACCCUAACUCUGACACACUCACCUUUGAGGCUGCUCCUUAUCUGAGGGGAACUGUUUUCAGUGUGAGCCACAGCGGAUUCUGGUUCUCAGGGGUCCUCAGAGCAAUAGUUUGGGAAAUAAGGAACUUCCCAGAGUACAUUUUCCCAGAUGUGCCACCUGCUGCUCCCAGAAGGCAUGUGGGGUUUCCUGCCUGACCUGGGGUCUGGCCCCUAGCCCGGUUGGUGAGAGGUCUGUGAACUCUGCCACCACAGGUAGGAGUGGCUGGAGGAGGGACGGAGCCAGAGGUGGAGGUGGAAGGUGGAGGUGGGAGGCAGGGCCAGGCAGGGGGGCGGGGGAUAGGAUUCCCCCAAGUGUGAUGUCAGGGAGAAAGGACAGGAUGAGGAAGACAGCUUGAUGUUUUGUGAAGCUGGAGGGUUGAGAUCUGCACAACAUGCAGCAGUUUCCUCCUUCAGGAUUAAAUCACCCCUUUACAAAAGCUGCUGGAGCCUUGCUACUUGCUCUUUUUGUUGCUGUCUUCCCUCAGCCCUCUUGCUGGCCCUUUGCCACACCCACUGAUGGGCUUUGGACCUGGGGACAGGCUCUUUGCGAUUAUAGGUGGCACAGGAAUGAGAUUCUUUUGGCUGAAAGGGAACCAGGGAAAAGGAGCAGCUGGCCAGGUGGCUUGGGGUGCAUGGCCAGAUGGAGGGUUCAGUGCCAGGGCCCUGCUCCCCGGGGAGGCUGCUCAGCAUCAGGUUUCAAUGGGCCUUAGCAGGUCAGCAGCAGGAAUGCGUGGGAGGGAGGAAAUUCUACUUUGCAUGGCCAGUGUUUGCUCACAGUCUGCAGCCUGACAGCUCAUUUCGUUUGCAUUUGCAGUUUUCAUGAACUUGAGUUUGAUGACAGUUGCUUGGGUCCAGGUUACAUGGAAACAUUCUGAACGUCCUCUGUCCUCUGGCAUCUUUUAUCCAAUAAUCAUGACUGUUUUCCAUACCUACCUACCUCUUCUUACAAGUUAC
rnacentral:lncRNA from 1 species